rnacentral:tRNA from 1 species
AGAAAUUUAGUUAAUUUAUAAUAUUAAUUUGUCAGGUUAAAGUAAUAAAAUUUUUAAUUUCUU